rnacentral:rRNA from 1 species
CUACGGGACGCAGCAGUGGGGGAUAUUGCACAAUGGGCGAAAGCCUGAUGCAGCAACGCCGCGUGAAGGAUGACGGAUUUCGGUCUGUAAACUUCUAUCAGCAGGGAAGAAAAUGACGGUACCUGACUAAGAAGCCCCGGCUAACUACGUGCCAGCAGCCGCGGUAAUACGUAGGGGGCAAGCGUUAUCCGGAAUUACUGGGUGUAAAGGGUACGUAGGCGGCUGAUCAAGUCAGAUGUGAAAGCCCGGAGCUCAACUCCGGGAUUGCAUUUGAAACUGGUCGGCUAGAGUGCAGGAGAGGAAAGUGGAAUUCCUAGUGUAGCGAUGAAAUGCGUAGAUAUUAGGAAGAACACCAGUGGCGAAGGCGGCUUUCUGGACUGUAACUGACGCUGAGGUACGAAAGCGUGGGGAGCGAACAGGAUUAGAUACCCUCGUAGUC